AGAGAGAGACAUGCGCGCAUAUCAAUAAGCGGAGGAAAAGAAACUAACAAGGAUUCCCCUAGUAACGGCGAGUGAAGCGGGAAGAGCUCAAAUUUGAAAUCUUAAAGGGUUUCCCUUUACGAAUUGUAGUUUAAAGAAGUGUUUUCUGUUGAGGUUUUGGUAAAAGUUCUUUGGAAUAGGACAUCAUAGAGGGUGAGAAUCCCGUAUUUGACCUUUACUUUCAACUUUGUGAUACACUUUCAAAGAGUCGGAUUGUUUGGGAAUGCAGUCCAAAAUGGGUGGUAAAUUUCAUCUAAAGCUAAAUAUUGGCGAGAGACCGAUAGCGAACAAGUACCGUGAGGGAAAGAUGAAAAGAACUUUGAAAAGAGAGUUAAACAGUACGUGAAAUUGUCAAAAGGGAAGCGUUUGACACCAGUGUUGUUUUUCUGAAAAUCAAUUAAAGAACUGUUUAUGCUAAGUUGUUUAGACUUUAUCAGCUAACUGUUUAGUUUUGAGCUUUUCUUUAAUGCACUUUUCAGUUAACAAGUCAACAUCAAUUUCUUUUGCUGUAAAAAAGCUUGAGGAAGGUGGCUUGAGAUUCGUCUUAAGUGUUUAUAGCCUCUUGCCUAUGCAGUCGGAGAGAUUGAGGUCUGCAGCGUAGAUCCUUCGGGGCUAAAUGCAUUUGUGCUAAGUUAUAGCAUUUUAUAGACAACUUGCUGACUAUGAUUUGUCUUGUAGCUUACUCGCUUAUGUUAUUUUACCUACGCUUAGGAUGUUGAGCGCAUGUCUCUCUCU
rnacentral:rRNA from 1 species